rnacentral:rRNA from 1 species
GUCGAGUCGGUCUGCGCGGAAGAUUUAACGGGGCUCAAGUGAUGCACCGAAGCUGCGGAUACGUGUUUACACGUAUGGUAGAGAAGCGUUCUGUAAGCCUGUGAAGGUGUGCUGUAAGGCAUGCUGGAGGUAUCAGAAGUGCGAAUGCUGACAUAAGUAACGAUAAUGGGGGUGAGAGACCCCCACGCCGAAAACCCAAGGUUUCCUGCUCAACGUUAAUCGGAGCAGGGUUAGUCGGCCCCUAAGGCGAGGCGGAAACGCGUAGUCGAUGGGGAUCAGGUUAAUAUUCCUGAACUUUGUAAUAUUGCGAUGGGGAGACGGAGAAGGCUAAAUCAGCAGGGCGACGGUUGUCCCUGUUUAAGCGUGUAGGCAGGACCCUUAGGUAAAUCCGGGGGUUCAUUAAUGCUGAGGCGUGACGACGAGUCCUCUUUUGGACGAAGUGAUUGAUGCCAUGCUUCCAGGAAAAUCCUCUAAGCUUCAGAUAUUACAAAACCGUACCCCAAACCAACACAGGUGGGUGGGAUGAGAAUUCUAAGGCGCUUGAGAGAACUCGGGUGAAGGAACUAGGCAAAAUAGCACCGUAACUUCGGGAGAAGGUGUGCCUUUGACGGUGAUGAGACUUGCUCUCUGAGCUGUUGGAGGUUGCAAUAAAAUGGUGGCUGCGACUGUUUACUAAAAACACAGCACUCUGCAAACUCGAAAGAGGACGUAUAGGGUGUGACGCCUGCCCGGUGCCGGAAGGUUAAUUGAUGGGGUUAUCUUCGGAGAAGCUCUUGAUCGAAGCCCCGGUAAACGGCGGCCGUAACUAUAACGGUCCUAAGGUAGCGAAAUUCCUUGUCGGGUAAGUUCCGACCUGCACGAAUGGCGUAACGACGGCCACACUGUCUCCACCCGAGACUCAGUGAAAUUGAAAUUGCGGUUAAGAUGCCGUAUACCCGCGGCUAGACGGAAAGACCCCGUGAACCUUUACUACAGCUUUGCACUGAAUUUUGAUCCUACUUGUGUAGGAUAGCUGGGAGGCUUUGAAGCCGUGACGCUAGUUGCGGUGGAGCCAACCUUGAAAUACCAGCCUGGUAUGGUUG